rnacentral:rRNA from 1 species
CGUGGCCUACGGGAGGCAGCAGUGGGGGAUAUUGCACAAUGGGGGAAACCCUGAUGCAGCGACGCCGCGUGGGUGAAGAAGCGCCUCGGCGCGUAAAGCCCUGUCAGCAGGGAAGAAAAUGACGGUACCUGAAGCAGAAGCCCCGGCUAACUACGUGCCAGCAGCCGCGGUAAUACGUAGGGGGCAAGCGUUAUCCGGAUUUACUGGGUGUAAAGGGGGCGCAGACGGCGAUGCAAGCCAGAAGUGAAAGCCCGGGGCCCAACCCCGGGACUGCUCUUGGAACUGCGUGGCUAGAGUGCAGGAGG